GGGAGGGGGAGGCCAGGGGCGGCUCCGCGGCCUCUCGUGAGCCCGGCGCCGCCGCCGCUGCGGGCACCCGGGCUCCACGCGAGGGACGAGGGCGGAGGGGAGGGGAGCGGCGGCGGCGGGGGGGAAGAGCCGGGCGAGACCUUGUUUGCACAAACAGCCCCCCCGGGGGCCGGCUCCCUCCCGGCGCGGGGCAGGGGCAUCCCAGCACCUCCGCACAGAGCAUCCCGGCCUCCCUCCCGCCGGUCCCCGGGGCCCCGCCGCAAAGCCGCCGGAACAUCGCCGUGUCCCCGGGCCCCGCUCGCUGUUUGCUAACCCGCGCAGCCCAUCUUUCGGGGCUGAUCAAAUAUGGAUAUUGCCUGCAAAACGCGAGCUGGGCACACGAGCGAUGCCGAGCAGCUCCAAGUUAACUGUUGUCUACCCUUGCGUUUCUGCGGCCAGGGGCGUGCAGCUUCCCUUGCUUAGACACGUCAAAAAUAAAUAUAUAAAGAAAGAAAAGACUCAUCCUGACUGCAAAAGAGAGAUUACCCUGCGGUUUGCUUUUAUUCUCCUUUCUCCCAAAGGGUGGGGGCAGAAUGCAAAGUGCCCCCGACGGGCGUUGCAACCCCGUCUGCUUUAAGGCUGAAUCAGCUUUCCGAAAAGCAAACAAGCAGGGGGGGAAAAAAAGAAAAGGAAAAAAAAAAAGGCUUGUUCGCAAAGGAAGUGGCCAGGGCUGUCCAAGGGGAGGCAGGCGCGGAUUAGCGAUGGGAGUGGAAGUUCCUGGCGCUUCAGAAAGGAUCUG